ANUUGUAUAAAAGCAAUGUCACAUUUGCAAUCUUGCCUGAUAUUAAGAAGAAACAGUGCUCUUGCUCGUUUGAUGUUGCUUUAAAUCAGUAAAGGAUUAUAUUAACAUGAACUUAUGAAAUGUUUCCUAAGUCUCUUGAAACAGAACAUUAAACCAAAAUAAACAUGCUGACAUUCUCCUGAACUUCGGCUCCUUGAUAUCAAUUUGACUCAAAUAUUAGUCAAGACUUGAUCAAGAUGCUGUAACAUCAUUUUAAAUUCAAUUUGGACAGCAAUAUCUUCUAGUUGUAAUUGGGUGAAAAUAGGAAGUUAGACCCACACUGAAACUGGUUUAAUGUAGGCCAAUAUGUUGGACAUUUAAUUUACAUUAAAUUAAAAUAAUGUCAAGUUUUUUUUUUUUUUUUUGUUUGUUGUUUGAUUUGUUGUUUUUUUGCAUAUUUGACCUACUUUUUGACUUCAAUUUGAUGUCAACAUGAACUGCCCACUGGGAAGCUGUUGCACAAACAAAACAACAAAACUGUGUCUCUGCUGUCUUGAGGUAAAUGAUGUGGAGUGUGUUUGCAUAUUGAUCAGAUGCUUCAGUGCUCUGAGAGUGUUUAUAGUGCUGUGAGUUUAACACUUCAUCACUGACACACACAACAAUCUUCAUCAACAUGACCUUCAUCAUCAUCUUCAUCUGGACUCUCACAGCGUUUGCUCAAGAGUGUAGAGGACAGAUCAGCGUCACUCAGAGUCCCUCAACAGCAGCUCAACCAGGAGAAACAGUGAAGAUCAGCUGUAACUGCAGCUGCUCAAACACUAUCACACACUACUGACACACAGAGACCAAACACAGAACUACACAUGAGCUCAGAACUGAGUCAGGAGUGAAAUCAGCUCUAUUAGACUGUGAUCUGUCCUGUGACAGACGGGUUUGACUCAACUAUGCUCAGAUUCAGAGAAAACAGAGAGUGUAAACUAAUAUCAAAUCAAACAGACAAUAACAGCACCAAGGUUUUUUUUAUUUUUUUUAUUUUGUACAUUAUAAUACACUCAUAUCUCAUUUUAAGUCAUAUAGUAAAGUCAUUGUAGCAGCAGCAUUGUGUUUUCAUUCACAAAAAUCUAAUUCUAACCUUUAAAUAUUUAUAAUGCUGAGUUUCUUUUUUACUAUAUUCAUGAUCUUUUAUGUUCUUUAUGUUCCUGAUGAAUUGUCUCUUGCUGCCCCUUGUUGGUCACUGAUCUGCACUACAUAUUCACCCUGCAUUUAAAUCAAAUAAAAAUGAAGACAUUUAAA
ensembl:lncRNA